rnacentral:tRNA from 1 species
CAGUAGAUAGUUUAAAUCAAAAUUUUAGUUUUGGAAACUAAAGAUAUUAGAAGUUCUUCUGA